rnacentral:lncRNA from 1 species
AUGUUUUAAUGAUUAUCAUUAAUGAAGGACAUUUUUUGCAAUCAAACUUUGUGAUCCCUGUUUUUCUAUUUUUUGUUUUCACCUUUUUUCAAAACAAUAAAAACGGCAAUGUUUUUGUUUUUUGUGACUUUUUUUCGAACUCUUUUUCUAAAACAAAGCAUUAAACAUGCAGAAGCGAUCUUAUGGCAUUCACUAUGAACAGUUCUGUUAUGGCUCAGUAUGAUUUC